rnacentral:rRNA from 1 species
UUGGAGGGCAAGUCUGGUGCCAGCAGCCGCGGUAAUUCCAGCUCCAAUAGCGUAUAUUAAAGUUGUUGCAGUUAAAAAGCUCGUAGUUGAAUUUCGGGGUUCUACCGUUGGUCGGGCUUUGUCUGUACUGGUGUGUAGAAUUUCUACCUUCUGGGGAACCAUCACGCUAUUAAUAUAGCGUGGUGGGAAACCAGGACCUUUACCUUGAAAAAAUUAGUGUGUUCAAAGCAGGCUUAUGUCUGAAUACAUUAGCGUGGAAUAAUAGAAUAGGACGGUGGUCCUGUUUUGUUGGUUUCUGAAUCACCGUAAUGAUUAAUAGGGAUAGUUGGGGGCAUUAGUAUUCAAUUGUCAGAGGUGAAAUUCUUGGAUUUAUUGAAGACUAACUUCUGCGAAAGCAUUUGCCAAGGAUGUUUUCACUAAUCAAGAACGAAAGUUAGGGGAUCGAAGACGAUCAGAUACCGUCGUAGUCUUAACCAUAAACUAUGCCGACUAGGGAUCGGACGAUGUUAAUUUUUCUUGACUCGUUCGGCGCCUUACGGGAAAC